ACGGGGGGAGCAAGCGUUGUUCGGAUUUACUGGGCGUAAAGGGCGCGUGGCGGCCACCGCAAGUCAAUUGUGAAAUCUCCGGGCUUAACUCGGAAAGGUCAACUGAUACUGCGGGGCUAGAGUGCAGAAGGGGCAACUGGAAUUCUCGGUGUAGCGGUGAAAUGCGUAGAUAUCGGGAGGAACAUCUGUGGCGAAGGCGACACCCUGGACCAGCACUGACACUGAGGCACGAAAGCGUGGGGAGCAAACAGGA
rnacentral:rRNA from 1 species